rnacentral:lncRNA from 1 species
UCUUGUUUUAUUGCAUAUAGUGAAAGAGUGGGCUUGUGUUGGAUACACAUGUGUAUGGAAAAGCUGUAUAGAUAUACACGGAGUGUAAAAGCUAAGCUUCGUAAGUCUAUAAAGUGCAUUUCCUUAGAAAUAAAUUACUUUUGAAUCAAAUGUGUCUGAAAUUGUACAUUGUCCAGGCGGGUUGUAUGAGGUAUGAAAAGCAGAAAACUUAAAAGUAAAAAUUACUUUCAAGGAAUUCUGUCCCACUAAAAUAACAUGCAUUGUUUCCACUGUACAUGAGAAGAUUACUAUGAAGAAAGCUCAUGCUUUAACCCAGCUCGCUUUGAGUCUUUGUAGACGUUGAAGAACGACGAAUCUGAGUAAUCUUUUCUACAAUGUCAGUACUAUGAUUAAUGGUAGUGUUUGUCAAAGAAAGAUAAUUAUUUUAAGUAAAUGUCCCUAUCGUAUGAUGUAAAAGUCCUUUUAGAAGUUUCAGGUUUCCUUCUUUUAGACCAGGGGUAACAUUUCAAUACUUUUGAUUUGAAAAAAUCUUUUAGCCUUACAGGCCUGAACGCACGCUACCUUUGCUCUUUUGUGCGCUGAAUGCAUGCCUCAGCGUGAAAAGUGGCGUAAAUCUAGGGCUUUUCUAUCAGGAGCUCAGUGUCGAAGGCCCUGUCUGCCCUUGGGGGUUAGGAUGCAAGGGUUGAGCUAGCAGAGUAUGUCGGUACAGCCUUAAGGCGGUGUGCUUAGGGUCAAGGAAAGGCACAAGUGUUAAACAAAUAGUCUGAUUUGAACUAGUUCAGUUGAUUGUGUAGUUUCCAACGCCUUUUCCCUUGAAAAACAUUUGAGAACCAAGUGUAUCAAAUGUAAUUCAGUCAAGGAAAGUCAAAUGACAUAAAUGAAUGCGUUUUAUGUUUUCUUAUUAACUUUUCCGAAGAUUACCAUGAAGAAAGCUCAUGCUUUAACCCAGCUCGCUUUGAGUCUUUAGACGUUGAAGAACGACAAAUCUGAGUAAUCUUUUCUACAAUAUGUCAGUACUUAGUUCAGUACUAUGAUUAAUGGUAGUGUUUGUUUGUCAAAGAAAGAUAAUUAUUUUAAGCACAUGUCCCUGUCGUAUCAUGUAAAAGUCUUUUGAAGAAGUUUCAGGUUUCCUUUUUUAAGAGUUGGGUAACAUUUCAAUACUUAUCUUUGAGCCUUGCAGGCCUUUAUGCACACUACCCUUUCUCUUUUGUGCGCUGAAUGCAUGCCCCAGCGUGAAGAGUGGCGUAAAUCUAGGGCUUUUCUAUCAGGAGCUCAGUAUCGAAGGCCCUGUCCCCCCUUGGGGGUUAGGAUGCAAGGGUUGAGCUAGCAGAGUAUGUCGGUACAACCUUAAGGCGGCGUGCUUAGGGUCAAGGAAAGGCACAAGUGUUAAACUAUAUAAACAAAUAGUCUGAUUUUAUCUAGUUCAGUUGAUGGUGUAGUUUCCAACACCUUUUCCCUUGAAAAACAUUCGAGAACCAAGUGUAUCAAAUAUAAUUCAGUCAAGGAAAGUCAAAUGACAUAAAUGAAUGCGUUUUAUGUUUUCUUAUUAACUUUUCCGAAGAUUACCAUGAAGAAAGCUCAUGCUUUAACCCAGCUCGCUUUGAGUCUUUAGACGUUGAAGAACGACGAAUCUGAGUAAUCUUUUCUACAAUAUGUUAGUACUAUGAUUAAUGGUAGUGUUUGUCAAAGAAAGAUAAUUAUUUUAAGUACAUGUCCCUGUCGUAUCAUGUAAAAGUCUUUUGAAGAAGUUUCGGGUUUCCUUCUUUUAGACCAGGGGUAACAUUUCAAUACUUUUGAUUUGAAAAAAUCUUUGAGCCUUACAGGCCUUUAUGCACACUACGUUUUCUCUUUUGUGCCCUGAAUGCAUGCUUCAGCGUGAAAAGUGGCGUAAAUCUAGGGCUUUUCUAUCAGGAGCUCAGUGUCGAAGGCCCUAUCCGCCCUUGGGGGUUAAGGUGCGAGGGUUGAGCUAGCAGAGUAUGUCGGUACAACCUUAAGGUAGCGUGCUUAGGGUCAAGGAAAGGCGCAAGUGUUAAACUAAACAAAUAGUCUGAUUUGAUCUUCUUCUGUUGAUUGUGUAGUUUCCAACACCUUUUCCUUUGAAACAUUCAAGAACCAAGUGUAUCAAAUAUCAUUUAGUCAAGGAAAGUCGAAUGACAUGAAUGAAGGAGCGUUUCAUGUUUUCUUAUUAACUUUUCAGAAGAUUACAAUGAAGAAAGCUCUUGCUUUAACCCAGCUCGCUUUGAGUCCUAGAAGACUUUGAAGAAUGAUAUAUCUGAGUAAUCUUUUCUUUUGUUUCGUCAUCAACCAGUGCAAUGAGAAAGAUAACAAAACUUAGAGAAUAAAAAUAACUUUUUGUUGUGGUACACCUCUUCCAUGUUGAGCUUGCUUCCUCUUUCUUGUUUAUUCACACUAUAGUUGAAGAAAGCAAGGUUGAUAUUAAUGGACAUUUUAUUGUUCAUACCUCUCACUCAGGCUCAAAUAUAAGCAGGAAGUGAAUGAAGCCGUUUCAUGAACAUAGAUCGGAUGCAUGAUCCGUAUUUGUAUAUGUUAGAUUAGUUAUGGGGCCAUGAAAUGCUUUCUGUGUUUAGUGGCUCUUAGACCCAAUGGAAGUAGCACCAAAUGAAAUCGUUUCAAGGCUCAAAAGUGUGAAAAAGCCAUUUGGAUAAAGGAUGGCCGUUCUUACAUACUAAGAGACAGUUUAAUUUUGUAUGUUUAGUGUCUUAUGGAAAGAUUACAAUGAAGAAAGCUUUUGCUUUAACCCAGCUCGCUUUGAGUCUCUUUAGACUUUGAAGAAUGAUUUUUCUGAGUAAUCUUAUGUAGUUUUGUUGUCUGCCAGGAGAAAUAUUGUUAUAGGAAAACUAAGAAUUUGGUUUUGGGCAACUGUUAACUCUUUGAAGACGCGCCCACUUGCCCCUCUCGAUAUCCUGUGACGCACCUUCUUUGCCCUUUUUUAACCAGGUCACAAUUUUUUUUUCUUAUCAACAGUACAUAAAUCACUUACACCAGUAACAUGUACAAUUUCUGUUUUUCUCUAAUACCAGUCUUACCUCAAUGAAGGCUGCAAGAUAAAUAGUUGCCCUCAACAGAAAUUUUUUUUGGACCAGAUGAGACUUGGAGGGGUCAGGUAGAUCUAGAUCUACCAACCAAUAGUACAGAUUCAUCAUCAUUAUCAUCUGAACUUUCUUCUUUUUACCACUGCCAUCAUCCAUAAACAACUCUAAAGCUUCUUCAGUCCGCAUCAAAACAUGUCGCCUGGAGAUCGCCAUUUUGUAUUAAAAGAACUGCGACAUUUCGACUGAUACAAUUGACCUAAAACAAAGGCCAUGCAAAGCUAUCCAAUUCGAAAGCGAAUAAAGAAAAUCAAAUUAUAGGGCUUUGGACGAGCUUUUCAAUGAUAUAGGGGUUGUCCACCUUAGACAAAUAGUUCAGCAAAUAAACACAGCGAUAACGGUGGGUUCUCCUGUCAGUGGUUUCUUCAAAGAGUUAAAUUUGUUAAAGAUAUGAAACAAUCCACUUCACAUGGUCACCUCAUAAUUGCAUGUAUACUGCAGUGGCUCAGUGCAGUAGUGCAUGUUGCAGUGUCACGUAUACUUAAAUGAACAAAUGAUUAUGUCCUAUGGGUGUCCAAGAGUGUAUGUGAUGUUAGUGUUUGAUAGUCCUAGUACACUGGUUUUGUGUUGGUCAGUGAAGGUAUGGCAAAGUGCCAUGUUUUUGUGGGUUUUUCAGUCCCAAAGUUUAAUCUGUGUGACACUGACCUUCCACUUCACAAUGCAACCUCUCCAUGGCCUGGCCGUAAUCCCAAACAAAACGUUUUUGAAGAUCAUAUGUUUUCUUAGUAUUUGUUAUCAGUUCCACAUUGAGCCAUUGUUUCAACUUGAAAAUUUUCACUAGAACAUGUGACAUGAACAGGAGACCUUAACAAGUGCAAUGUUUGGCAAUGAAACUAUGGUGCUUUUCACUUUUUGUUUGUUUUUGAUUUAAUCCCCAAGUUAGAUCCUCUUUUCUGAAUAGUGCAGUUUUAGAGAUAUUUAGCUGACCAGAAAGUUGCUCAAGUGUUCCUGAAAAUCUCUCUCAUAUGGUUAAAUUAAAUUUUACACUGCUUGUCAGAAGAUUACAAUGAAGAAAGCUUUUGCUUUAACCCAGCUCGCUUUGAGUCUCUGUAGACUUUGAAGAACAACCAUUCUGAGUAAUCUUUUGUACUGUAUUAUUUGCCUAUGAUAUAAAAAUAGAUUUUUCUUCUUUGAAAUAAUGUAUUUGAUGUAAUAUUUAUGGUAUGAACGUGGGGGCAGUACCAUAAGAACAGUGCUGUUGCACAUAUGACCCUCCUCCCAACAUGGUUAUUAUGCACUCCUGAUAAGGUGGAAAGAAAGCACACCUUUCAUUUUUUAUUAGUAUCUUACAUUAAUGAUGAGUGCAAAUAGUACUGCUACCUAAGGAAAAUUUCUAGGUCCAUGAGUAACUGAUAGGGUUUUUUUGGGGCUCCCCCCUCCCCCCUCAUCACCAAAUUAAACUUUUGUGAAGCAUCAUAUAAAAAAAAGUAGAAACGGUAAUAAUCCUUUCCCCUUUUCUGACCAAAACAUUUCCAAGUGUCUGCUAUGAGGAACUAAGUAUUGGAUGUGGAAAGUAAUCUCCUCUCUGAAUGCUGUUUCAGCUUUGUCUGAGUAGACAUUCAACUACUGUAAUAUACUGCUCAUGUUAACUGUAAUUUAUAUCUUCCAAAAAGUUAACUUAAGCUUGUGUACAAACCAGGCGUUGACUGUAAGAUUAAAGAGCUGAAAAAAAAAGGAUGUUUACCAAUGUACAAACUGUCCUUAAUGAUGGCUUGGACAAACGGAAACAAUUGGCGUUUUGCAGAAACUGUAGCAUUGUUAAGUUCCUUGUGUUUUUAAUUAUCAACUUUGGAUUCCUGUUAAGCUUGUGUCUUUAAUGAAAGAUUACAGUGAAGAAGUUCAUGCUUUAACCCAGCUCUCUGAGUCUUUAGACUUUGAAGAAUGUUAGAUCUGAGUACUCUUUCAUUAUUUGUUUAUUUUAGAGAGACGCCCUCUAUUCAUUUACAAAAAAAUGUUGUAUUUUAGUUUUAAUGCGCUCAGACUGUUGUGUUUUGUGAUCAUCUAGCAUGGAAAUGGGAUGGUGCUUUUUUUUAACCAUUACCUUUGAUUCUUUGUCAGAUCACAAUGAAACUGAUAGUAACUGUCAUGAAACAUAGAAAUUUAAUUGGGUUGCUGUCUGCUUUUUUAGAAGUGUGGUGAAUGUUGAAAGUUAACUUAACAUCUGAGCUUUGUUGCAAAAGGACUGAGUGGCUCAUAGAUAUUUAGCCAACACAGUUUAGAAGUUAGUAGGGUUUUAUUGGUGCUGAGCCAUUGUUGACUCUGGUGCUUAGGCUUUGUAUCAAAGAUCACAAUGAAGAAAGCUUAUGCUUUAACCCAGCUCGCUUUGAGUCUCCAUAGACUUUGAAGAACAAUAUAUCUGAGUU